AUUGAACGCUGGCGGCAGGCCUAACACAUGCAAGUCGAGCGGAUGAAGGGAGCUUGCUCCUGGAUUCAGCGGCGGACGGGUGAGUAAUGCCUAGGAAUCUGCCUGGUAGUGGGGGAUAACGUCCGGAAACGGGCGCUAAUACCGCAUACGUCCUGAGGGAGAAAGUGGGGGAUCUUCGGACCUCCCGCUAUCAGAUGAGCCUAGGUCGGAUUAGCUAGUUGGUGGGGUAAAGGCCUACCAAGGCGACGAUCCGUAACUGGUCUGAGAGGAUGAUCAGUCACACUGGAACUGAGACACGGUCCAGACUCCUACGGGAGGCAGCGGUGGGGAAUAUUGGACAAUGGGCGAAAGCCUGAUCCAGCCAUGCCGCGUGUGUGAAGAAGGUCUUCGGAUUGUAAAGCACUUUAAGUUGGGAGGAAGGGCAGUAAGUUAAUACCUUGCUGUUUUGACGUUACCAACAGAAUAAGCACCGGCUAACUUCGUG
rnacentral:rRNA from 1 species